rnacentral:rRNA from 1 species
GACGAACGCUGGCGGCGUGCCUAAUACAUGCAAGUCGAACGCAGUGGGGACGGGUGCGUAACACGUGGGUAACCUCCCAUCAGAGGGGAUAACACUUGGAAACAGCUGCUAAACCGAUACUGAUUGAUGGACCCGCGGUGCAUUAGCUAGUUGGUGAGGUAACGGCUCACCAAGGCCACGAUGCAUAGCCGAGCUGAGAGGGUGAUCGGCCACACUGGGACUGAGACACGGCCCAGACUCCUACGGGAGGCAGCAGUAGGGAAUCGUCGGCAAUGGACGAAAGUCUGACCGAGCAACGCCGCGUGAGUGAAGAAGGUUUUCGGAUUGUAAAACUCUGUUGGUAGAGAAGCGGUAUCUAAACAGAAAGCCACGGCUAACUACGUGCCAGCAGCCGCGGUAAUAC